GGUCUGAUGGUCUAGAGGUAUGAUUCUCUCUUAGGGUUACCCGCCUUAGAUGGGAGAGGUCCCGGGUUCAAUCCCCGGUCAGACCC
rnacentral:tRNA from 1 species